CCUACGGGGUGCAGCAGUGGGGGAUAUUGCACAAUGGGGGGAACCCUGAUGCAGCGACGCCGCGUGGGUGAAGAAGCGCCUCGGCGCGUAAAGCCCUGUCAGCAGGGAAGAAAAUGACGGUACCUGAAGAAGAAGCCCCGGCUAACUACGUGCCAGCAGCCGCGGUAAUACGUAGGGGGCAAGCGUUAUCAGGAUUUACUGGGGGGAAAGGGGGCGCAGACGGCGAUGCAAGCCAGGAGUGAAAGCCCGGGGCCCAACCCCGGGACUGCUCUUGGAACUGCGUGGCUGGAGUGCAGGAGGGGCAGGCGGAAUUCCUGGUGUAGCGGUGAAAUGCGUAGAUAUCAGGAGGAACACCGGUGGCGAAGGCGGCCUGCUGGACUGCAACUGACGUUGAGGCCCGAAAGCGUGGGGAGCAAACAGGAUUAGAUACCCCUGUAGUC
rnacentral:rRNA from 1 species